UAAACUCAAAAACCGAACCAA
rnacentral:piRNA from 1 species